rnacentral:rRNA from 1 species
UACGUAGGGGGCUAGCGUUAUCCGGAAUUACUGGGCGUAAAGGGUGCGUAGGUGGUUUCUUAAGUCAGAGGUGAAAGGCUACGGCUCAACCGUAGUAAGCCUUUGAAACUGGGAAACUUGAGUGCAGGAGAGGAGAGUGGAAUUCCUAGUGUAGCGGUGAAAUGCUUAGAUAUUACACAGAACACCAAUUGCGUAGGCAGCUUACUGAGCCGACACUGACGCUGAGGCACGAAAGCGUGGGGAUCAAACAGGAUUAGAUACCCCGGUAGUCCCUGA